GUGCCAGCCGCCGCGGUAAUACCGGCAGCCCAAGUGAUGGCCGCUGUUAUUGGGCCUAAAGCGUCCGUAGCUGGCCGACCAAGUCUCCCGGGAAAUCCACCCGCCCAACGGGUGGGCGUCCGGUAGAAACUGGCCGGCUUGGAACCGGAAGGCUCAGAGAGUACGUCCGGGGUAGGAGUGAAAUCCCGUAAUCCUGGACGGACCGCCGAUGGCGAAAGCACGUCGCGAGAACGGAUCCGACAGUGAGGGACGAAAGCCAGGGUCGCGAACCGGAUUAGAAACCCGAGUAGUCC
rnacentral:rRNA from 1 species